GGCGGUAAUUAAAAAGAGACAUUACACUAAUUGAGGUAUAUAUUGAAUACUAGAAUAAAGAAUCUCUUCUUCUUCCUUCACACUCCUCUCAUAUUCUGCUUUCCUCUGCAACUCCGAAGCAAUAAUACAACCCAUGGCAGCAGCUUAUGCAGCUCUGGUUUCUGCUAUGCAUAUCAUAAACAACCUUCACCAUCAUCCUCGCCCUCCUAUUUCUCUCCACAUUAAACAAGUUGAGUCUCUCACUCAAAAGAUUAAUUUCCUGCUCCAAUUUCUCCAAGGCUAUAACCCCCAUCGUGGCUACUCCCAAGA
rnacentral:lncRNA from 1 species